rnacentral:lncRNA from 1 species
GCUACAUUUAUCUUUGUGGCAGGUUUCUGUAAUACUUCAGUAACCAGGUUCACAGCCAGCACGUUGGAUGUGUGUGAUAGAGAGGUGACUUUGAACAGUGUCAGUGCGUUGUGUGUAUUGGUCUUGGUACAACCAGUUAGCCUGAUCCACAAUUGGGCUUCUUAUUUGAAUACAUCUCAACCGCAGUACAGAACAGUUGUAGUUCUUGGAACCCACACAGCUGAAUACAAGCUGGAGCCCAGUGACUUUCUACUAAUUAAGUAAUACCCUAUAAGUUUACCUGGGUACACUCGGUCAUGGUGUUUUUUGCAACUGUAUUAAGUAAUUCUUUAAGAUAUUAUGUAUGAUAAGAGAAUAGGGUACAUGCAUACUAGUGUAUGUUUUUAGGAUGUGUCUACGUUUGUUUACAAAGAGCAUAGAGCAGUUUCGUGUUUAAGUACGACAAUCGGCAAUGUCCGUGUACGUGUUCUCAUAAAGUUAUGGUAUACUUCUGUGUAAAUAAUAUAAUUCCGAAAAAAAACAAAAACAAAGAAAGCCGAAAUUACACCUGAUAAUACAUAAUACGCCGAUGUAUA